AACUUUCAGUUGACUGAAAAUGGACUCGCUCUCGCUGAUACAAAUACAAGACAAACUGGAUUUUGUGGUUUGUUCAUUUACCAGCAUUAUUUCCUCAUUUACGAAGCUAGUGUGCUAGCUGAAUAUCCAACUCUCAGUUGACUAAACUACAACUGAAAAUGUCUAAAAUGAGUGUUUAACGGCGGCUGCUGUUGAGGUUUUCGGGGCAGUUGAGAAAACAGUAGUGUAGUAUCAAGAGAAGAGGAUCACACCGGAUAUAAAACUAAGUAGAAUAGGCACCAAUGCAGUAAUGGCUGGCUCUGGUCUACUUAGUCCCCCCCCCCCCCCUCCUUCAAGACUGUUGGAAAAGGAUUCCAAGUGAAGCUGGUUGAGAGAAUACCAAGAGUGUGCAAAGCUGUCAUCAAGGCAGACAGAGGACUCCCUGCAGCUCUCUCUCACUGUCUCUGGAAAAAGAGGUUCCUGCUGAGCAGCAGCAAUGUGAGCAGAAGUGGAGCCCCUGUCUGGGGAAGGAGGACCCAGAGCCCACAGAGAUUAAAGAGGAAGAGGAGGAAGUCAAGGCCAGUCAGGAGGAAGAGCAGCUUCAAGGACUCUUUGAUAUGAAAUACUCCAUAUUCACUACUCCCUGUGUGAAAAGUGAAUGUGAUCAGGAGGUACUGUGACCUGUCUGAAGAGUCUAGACACUUCCUGUGACUAUCCAGAUAAACAAAACCAUGCCUCCAGCUGUAAGCAGCGACCCAGUAGGACUUGACAGCAGCCCACCAUUGGGGAACACCACUCCAAAACCAGCACCACGCCUAGAACAACGUACGGCUGCCCCGACUGUGGUGAAACGUUUGCUCUGAAAGCUGACCUGCAGGGGCAUGUGAGUCUCACCAAGAAGGGAUCCAGCGUCUGCAAAAAAAAGCAACAACUCCACCUGUAAAUUGAAGGCCCAUGUCCAAAUCCGUCACAUGGAGAAACUCUGCACCUUCCCCUUUUGUGGCAAGACCUUCAAGCAAAGGAAAUAUUUUCAGGCACAUGAUGAUUCACACAGGAGAGAAAUAAUUUAGCUGUGGUGACUGUGGGAAAAGCUUCAUUCAGAAGGGGGACCUAAUGAGACAUAUACUGACUCACACAGGAGAGAAACCAUUUAGCUGUGGUGACUGUGAGAAAAGCUUUAAUCGGAGGGGGCAGCAGAAGGUGCACAUACAGACUCACACAGGAGAGAAACAACAUGGCUGCUUAGUCUGUGGUAAAAGAUUCACUCAUAAGGCUUAUCUAGUGAAACAUGUGGAUAAGGUCCACAAAGGAAGGAAGAAAGAAAACAGGAUGAAAACGGAAAGAAAAUGAAAUAGGACAAAUAUAUUCUAUCAACAGAUGGGAAUUUUAAAAAGCAGGAUGAGGACAAACCACCUCUGGAUCAUUCAUGCUGUUCUCUUAAGACAAAAUGGAUGUGAUGAAUUUACUUUUAACAGAAUAUUCUUUGUAAUAAAGUUUCAUUUUUAUUUGAAGGGUGAGGUAAUGAUCAAACAGUAGUAUGCAGUAUUAUGUGAAUCUCACAGGUCUGCUGUUGAAAGUCUGUUGAUGUUUUCACAUGAUUACCAACUGGAAUAUCUGGUUGUUUGUUUUGGAAUGUCUCUCAGGGUGAUGAGAGAAUGGUCUGGCUGAUGUUAUUGAUACGUAAAAAAUGUUUACACUUUCCAGAAAAUAUCACCUUCCAUCUGUCUUUUUGUCAUACAUUUUGACCUAAUGCUGCUCAUUCAGGAUAUUGUUUGAGUCUUUAUGGAAGUAAUGAUUUAAAGUCGAUUCCUGAUAAGUGCACUUUGUGUGAGUGAAAACUCUGUUCUAAGUGCACAACAGUGUUUGUCCAGUCCCAUUUCAGUGGCACCCCAUGUAAUUUCUCCCGAUAAGCGCAUUCUCUUUUUAAAUGCAUGUUUUCACAUCAGUCCCAAGCCGUUGCAGUUGUCAAGAGUCACCUGUGUUAAAAUGCAUUGUCUUUCAAUUCAGUUCAUGCAAAAAAGAUCGUCCUAUUACUAAUUAAAACUGUUUCCCCAAAUGAA